rnacentral:RNase_P_RNA from 1 species
UUUGACAAACGCUAUAUUUUUAAUGAUAUAGAGGAAAGUCCAUGCUCACAAAAGCUGAGAUGCUUUUAGUGUUCGUGCUAAGGGAAAAAAUAACCUUAGGUAGCUUAAUAGCUAACGGCGACGAAGGAGUCUAAAUCUCUAAGACAUGACUCUAGUAGUUGUAAAGUGCCAUAGUGACGAAUAAUCUGGAAACGGAUGAUGUGGAACGCGGUAAACCCCACGAGUGAGAAACCCAAAUUUUGGUAGGGGAGCUUCGAAGAGGAAAAUGAACCAAAUCGGGGACCGGAGACGGUAGAUAAAUGUUUGUCGCCUAGAAAUAGGAACAGAACAUGGCUUAUAA